AUUUGGAGAGGAUGCUUUUGGCGCGGCGCCGUCCGAGUUCCUUGGAACAGGACGCCAUAGAGGGUGAGAGCCCCGUACGGGCGGCCGCCUAGCCUUUGUAAAGCUCCUUCGACGAGUCGAGUAGUUUGGGAAUGCUGCUCAAAAUGGGAGGUAAAUUUCUUCUAAAGCUAAAUACCGGCCAGAGACCGAUAGCGCACAAGUAGAGUGAUCGAAAGAUGAAAAGCACUUUGAAAAGAGGGUUAAACAGUACGUGAAAUUGUUGAAAGGGAAGCGCCUGUGACCAGACUUGCGACCCGUGGAUCAUCCGGUGUUCUUCACCGGUGCACUCCGCGGGCUGCAGGCCAGCAUCGGUUUUCCUAGGGGGUUAAAGGUCGCAGGAACGUAGCUCUUUCGGGAGUGUUAUAGCCUGUGGCGUCAUGCCUCUGGGGAGACCGAGGACCGCGCUUCGGCAAGGAUGCUGGCGUAAUGGUCACCGGCGACCCGUCUUGAAACACGGACCAAGGAGUCAAGCAUUGGGGCGAGUGUCUGGGUGCCAAACCCGCACGCGAAAUGAAAGUAAACGCAGGUGAGAGCUUCGGCGCAUCACCGACCGAUCCUGAUGUCUUCGGAUGGAUUUGAGUAAGAGCCUUACCGCUUGGACCCGAAAGAUGGUGAACUAUGCCUGUAUAGGGUGAAGCCAGAGGAAACUCUGGUGGAGG
rnacentral:rRNA from 1 species